rnacentral:rRNA from 1 species
CCUACGGGCGGCUGCAGUGGGGAAUAUUGCACAAUGGGGGAAACCCUGAUGCAGCGACGCCGCGUGAGUGAAGAAGGAAUUCGGUAUGUAAAGCUCUAUCAGCAGGGAAGAAAAUGACGGUACGUGAGUAAGAAGCCCCGGCUAACUACGUGCCAGCAGCCGCGGUAAUACGUAGGGGGCAAGCGUUAUCCGGAUUUACUGGGGGUAAAGGGGGCGUAGACGGCCGUGCAAGUCUGGAGUGAAAGGCGGGGGCUCAACCCCCGGACUGCUCUGGAAACUGUCCGGCUGGAGUGCAGGAGAGGUAAGUGGAAUUCCUCGUGUAGCGGUGAAAUGCGUAGAUAUUAGGAGGAACUCCAGUGGCGAAGGCGGCUUACUGGACUGUAACUGACGUUGAGGCUCGAAAGCGUGGGGAGCAAACAGGAUUAGAUACCCUUGUAGUC